GGUGGUUUUCUAUCUGUUCCACAGUGAGGGGGCCACACAUGCCAUGUAAAUCCCCAGUCAGAUAUAUUUAAAGACGGGAAAAACCGGCAUAUGUGUGUAUAACUAUCGGUCGCACAGUAGUAGGUUAUACACACUUACGAUAAUUUCGAUAGGCUGGUGAAUGUUUUGGUAAACUAGUGGAUUUGCAUAAUGAAUACCCUACGAGUAAUCAACAAACUUGGUAUGAGAAUGUCAGCAUCUACGUCGAACAGCUUGGCCAGAUAUGUACAAACUAUGGCACCUAUCAAUAAUGCCAUGGAGGUCACGCCCCCCUGGGAUGGUAUGUUCAGUGCGUGGCAAUCAUUACAACAAGACAGCUGGGUUACCACUCAAUGUUAGAGGAACCAAAGACAUUUGAUACGUUCAAUACAAUGGCAGAAACAAAAAGUAUUCUAGGAACAAGAAACCUUGGACUAUUUGAAGAAAUCCCGAAAUCUGAAAAAACAGAAUCAAGUAUAAGACCAACGAAAGGAAAUUUAAGAUUAAAACUCAGAGCGCUCGGAUAUUCCUAAGAACUCCUGAAAGAGAAAUUUAGUUUCGUAGAAUUUGGUUAAUCCAUUGAACUCCCCAAAGAAAGAUUUAAAUCCGGACCACUGGGUAAAACCAAAGAACUCUUCAAAGAGAGAUUUAAAUCCGGAUCGCUGGGUAAAACAAAAGAACUCCUCAAAGAGAGAUUUAAAUCCAGACCGCUGGGUAAAACCAAAGAACUCCUCAAAGAGAGAUUUAAAUCCGGAUCGCUGGGUAAAACCAAAUAACUCCUCAGAGAUUUAAAUCCGGAUCGCUGGGUAAAACCAAAUAACUCCUCAAGGAGAGAUUUAAAUCCGGAUCGCUGGGUAAAACCAAAGAACUCCUCAAAGAGAGAUUUAAAUCCACGCGUUGUGAUGUUUCAAGAGAAUCCUCGACGAUUCCAAGUUGUGAUAGAUGUAGGGGCCUAAGGGUCGAACAGAAAGCGUCCAAUCUCUUGCAAACACUUGACCUAUUUGCAGAUCUAGAUUCCAGGGACAAUCUAAGAUGAUGAAACCAGGUUGAACUUUGUAAAAACAUGGUUGUGAGUGUAAAUAAGAUAUAAAGUAAAUAUUUCAUCUUUUUGUCAUUUGUCAUUUUCUUAACUCAGUAGUAGUAAAACAUUUUUUCUUAGUUCAAAUAUCUAUAUUAUUGUAUAUAUGUCCUGACGUUGUGUUGUGAUUACACUUAUUGUCACUGUGAAUUGUAUCUUUGUCCGUCGUUAACUCACUAUUUACUUUCCUUGGAAUGAUAUGUCGUGGUGUUUUUUUUAAAUUAAAGUUGUUUGCAAAUUUUUCAGAACAUUAAUUAUUUGAAAUUAAAUAAAUCAUCCUUAACUGCAAAAUUGCAAUUUUUCAGGAAUUAUUUAGCGAAAAUUUCAGAAAUUCACUUUCUGGAACGCAUGUUCGUAAACUGUGACAAUUGUAGUAUGAAUAUUUCAGAAAAACUGUUUGGUUUAGAAAAACAGAAAAUCUUUGAUUACGAUUUCCGAAAUAGAUAGUCGAUAAGUUUAGGUUAUUUAUCAAGGUAACUUAAACAUGAACAAUUUAUUGUAUUGUGAUAUAGUUUUGUAAUUAUACAUUAAGUUGAAAAAUUGUAAAAUG